rnacentral:rRNA from 1 species
GAUGAACGCUGGCGGCGUGCCUAAUACAUGCCAGUCGAGCGAACGGACGAGAAGCUUGCUGCUCUGAUGUUAGCGGCGGACGGGGGAGUAACACGUGGAGAACCUACCUAUCAGACUGGGAUAACUUCGGGAAACCGGAGCUAAUACCGGAUAAUAUUUUGAGCCGCAUGGUUCAAAAGUGAAAGACGGUCUUGCUGUCACUUAUAGAUGGAUCCGCGCUGCAUUAGCUAGUUGGUAAGGUAACGGCUUACCAAGGCAACGAUGCAUAGCCGACCUGAGAGGGUGAUCGGCCACACUGGAGCUGAGACACGGUCCAGACUCCUACGGGAGGCAGCAGUAGGGAAUAUUACGCAAUGGGCGAAAGCCUGACGGAGCAACGCCGCGUGAUUGAUGAAGGUCUUCGGAUCGUAAAACUCUGUUAUUAGGGAAGAAGAUAUGUGUAAGUAACUGUGCACAGCUUGACGGUACCUAAUCAGAAAGCCACGGCUAACUACGUG